ensembl:lncRNA novel transcript
UAGUGAAGCUACACCAUUCCCAAGUUGAUUAAAGUAAAAAACAAAAACAAAAAAAUCCCUGUCAGAAUUUUGCUUCUCAUGGCACUUAAGGAAUCUGGGUGGCAUGGGAAUAUGGACAGGCUUUUAAAAUUCUUUCAUUAUUGACUUCUACCCGAUGACUGACACUACUGUUAGGGCUCCAGCUGCAAGUUAAGACUAACAGAUCUCUUCCACAGGUGUCUCAGGAACACAGCAGCAGGUAGAUCCAAAAAUAACCUGGAGGAGAACCAGAGCAAGAAAGGCUAACGGACGUAUGUAAACCAUGCUAGAAGAUAAGAGAUCUGGAUGGAUAGGUUACCGAACUCGGACAAAGUGAAAAGAAUGUCUCGUUUUCCUAAUUAAUGCGUUGUAAAAGUUGCAUUACUGUCUGAAUAUGACUGGCAAAUUUUGUCAUAUCCAGAUAUUGAAACUCAUAACUAAGUUAUCAGAGUAAUAAUCUUUUGUUUAAAAAUAGGGGUCUGGGUGUCUUUCUGUGCC